GGAAGAGGUGGCCCAAAGUGAGCUUUCAGAAACGGCCGGAAAAUCCUUGUUAAAAUGAUUCCAGCUGGUCUCAGCAGAGAACUGACCCAGAAGUUGUGACAUAUGAAGAUGCAAGAUGCAAGAGCCACCUUGUAACCAGGAGGAAAAGGCCAAAAGAAUCACAGGCCACAGCCUUGAGGCACUAACUCAAGGCCAGUGAUCACCUCUUCCAAACUUCUUCUUAUAUUAGAAAAAUAAUCAUCUAGUUGUUUAAGUCUCUUGGUUGAGUUUUUCAUUAUUGGCAGCAAA
rnacentral:lncRNA from 1 species